ensembl:lncRNA
AGGACUAAGAGUUUUAAAACAUUUACAAAUCCAAGCAAGAUAAAACAUAUUACACCAGACAAAUAACUUAAAAAAUAAAAACAAAAAAAAAACAACUAAGUCUGUACACAAUUCCACAAUGAGAGAGAGAGCGAGAGAGAGCGAGAGAGCGAGAGAGAGCGAGAGCACAGAACAAAUAGAAUGACAUUCAUGGACAACAGUAUUACACAGUAAGUGUUUGUGGCUUUGUAACUAUUUACCAAAAUCCAACCUUGUGCUUGGCUUGGAAUCAGACAUGCCAUGCACAGACCUUAAAUGCUGUGUUUCACAACAAAGUUAUUUUCUGUUUUCAACAAUCCACCUCUGCCUCUCAGCCUCAUAGAAUGGGGACUGCUGAAACUCUGCCCAUGUCAUCUCUGCAUUCACUCCCUGUGCCUGAUACAGGGAAAACACUUUAGCAGGACAGUAAAUGUAUUUGCCUGCCACUCCAGGGAAACCAGUAUGGAUAUGAGGACUAUUGGGUCCUUGUUUUAGAGGCUGGUGGCAGAACCUGCACAGACAACCAGAAGGAUGCUCCACUAAUGAUUUCCUCUUGCCUCUCUCUUCAAUCACCCUCUUCCUCUCUGCGCCCCUCUGCUUAGAGGCCUCCAGCUCCCGUUGAAAGAAGGGAGUGUCUGCAAAAUCUUCAAAUGGCAUCCUGGAGUUGAUGAGGCCCUCUGCAGAGUAUGCCUCAAAGACUUUCCUGGAACAGUAGAAGUAUUUAACAUCACCAGCCUGAUAAAAAAAAAAUGCACAGAGGAGCCAUCAGCCAGAUAACGAGAUUUUGGCUGACCACAAACUAAACAAGAUCUAAUUAGUUUUUUUUGGUAUCUGCUGCUGUUGUUGUUGCAGGGCUGCCUGCUGCUUCUCUAGGAUGUCUUUAACCAUCUUCUCAACUGCUGCCUGUGUCAGAGGGACGUCUUCAGGAACACUCUUUCGAGGUGGAUUGAACUGAGCAGGUGGCAGCAUUGUCACUGGGACACUGGUGGUUUCACUGCCUGAGUUAAGACACUGCCAUAACUGUUGUGUCUCCAGGAACUUUUCUGGGCUGGUGUUGCGAGAAGUGUUUUAUGUAACUGUUUAUGUGUUGUUUUGUGGUUGAGUGCAGAAGGCUUAAGGCUGGCAAGAUGUUCGUAAAACGCUUUGGUAGCAUGUCUAUCCACUGGGGUUUAUCAGGGAACCAGGAUUUUUUGCAUGCUUUACAGCACAGACAAGAGGAAAGGAUAUAAUAUUGUCCGCUAGGUACCAAGGCAGGAUGUAAUUGUUUCUGAGCCUUUCCAUUAUACUGUGCUCCGGUUUCCAGAUGAAGAAUGGAUGGAGCUGGAAGUAUUUUGGUGACGGCAGGCCUGUGUUGGUUUCUAUAAGCUCAGGUUGAGGAAGAUAACGCCACAAGGAAACCAUGUUCAUAAGGUGUCUCACCAAUCGUGAUCCUGGCCAGAGUCCCAUGGCUUCCAAUUCGGUUUUCAUCCAGAUUUUUUGCUGGAGGGAGCACUUAGGACAUUUUCACUCAGGGGUGUACUCACUUUUGUUGCCAGCGAUUUAGACAUUAACGGCUGUGUGUUGAGUUAUUUUGAGGGUACCGCAAAUUUACACUGUUAUACAAGCUAUACAAUCACUACUUUACAUUGUAGCAAAGUGUAAUUUCUUCAGUGUUG